rnacentral:lncRNA from 1 species
UUAGAUUAAGUAAUACAUUUAUACUUACUAAUACAAUAAAUUACAAAUUUAUAAAUCUAAUUUUGUUUUGUUUUUUCCUCUUCUUCCCCAUUUUCAUCAUCUUCCAUUACCAUGAAAACUCACCAAGAAUUUUAAAAUCCAAAAAUACCCAAAUCAUUCAUCCUCUUCCCUUGUAAUCAUUCAUGAAGCUUGAAAAUCUCAAACUAAAAUCCCCAAUUCGUUUUAACAUCUCCAAAAUUUUGCCCAAUCUCAAACCCACUUUUCUCUCUCUAAGAGGAAGAACCAAAACCCAAAACCCCAAACCUAAACCCAGAAUUUUAGAAAUCUCAUGUGCAAAGGAAGAAUCUAUCAUGAGCAGAGGAAGAACCAAAAAUGGGGGAAAAAACACAACUCGCAUCUUGUGAGGAUCUAGAUCUGGGAAAAAGAGAGUAAGUAGCUUCAACCACAACGUUGUCGAUCUCGCAAAAUUGUGAUCCAUCAAGUUGUUGUCAUGUAAUAUUGACACCUUUGUUGCCAUAAAAAGUUGAAAUUCUAGUCGAUGUUGCCGGUUUGUGCUAUAGAUCGGCACUAAUGGUGGUUAGGUAUGCUUGUGAAGGUUGAAGAUUUUCUCAACAAGCUGUUUGUUAAAAAUGAAUUAUAUCUACAUUUGGAAGAAGAUGAACAAUGAAUUUAUGAUUUUGAUUUGGGGAUUAGUGCAUUUGAUCCAUUAGAUGGCUAAAAUGAAUGAUGUGUUUGGGUUAUGUUUUAUUAAUUUGUUUGUUAUAAAAAAUGUGAUUUAAGUGUAUAUCUGAUUUUUAUUUUUGAUUGAAUAAAGUGAAAAAUAUUUAUAUUUUUAU